UGGGGGGGAACCUGGUGGGGGGCCUCGUGGUGGUGGGGAACGUGGUGGUGGUGGUCAACGGCAUGGGCAUGGUGAACCUUGUGGUGAUGGUGAACGUCAUGGUCAUGGUCAUGAUGAACCUCAUGGUGAUGGUGAACGUCAUGGUGGACCUCAUGGUCAUGGGGAACCUCAUGGUCAUGGUGAACCUUGUGGUGAACCUCAUGGUGAUGGUGAAUGUCAUGGUCAUGGUCAUGGUGGACCUCAUGGUGAUGGAGAACCUCAUGGCAGUGGUGGACCUCGUGGUGAACCUCAUGGUCAUGGGGAACCUCAUGGUGAACCUCAUGGUAAUGGAGAACCUCAUGGUCAUGGUGAACCUCAUGGUGAACCUCUUGGUGAUGGCGACGUUGGACGCCAUGGUGGACGUCACGGUGACGCCGCCCUUCGUGGUGGCACCCGGCCUCCUGGCAACGCUCAAACUCACGGCAACACCAAAAUUGGAGGUGACACCAAAAUUCGAGGUGACACCAAACCCUGUGGUGACCCCAAAAUUCAAGGUGAUGCCAAAAUUCAAGGCGACGCCAAACCCUGUGGUGACACCAAACCCCGUGGUGACCCCAAACCCCGUGGUGACCCCAAAACUGGAGGCGACCCCAAAAUUCAAGGCGACGCCGACCCCGAGCGGCCUCACCGCU
rnacentral:lncRNA from 1 species